GAUGAAGAACGUAGCGAAAUGCGAUAAGUAAUGUGAAUUGCAGAAUUCAGUGAAUCAUCGAAUCUUUGAACGCACAUUGCGCCCGCCAGUAUUCUGGCGGGCAUGCCUGUCUGAGCGUCAUUUCAACCCUCAGCCCCCGCUCGCGGGGCGCUGGCGUUGGGGAUCGGCCGUCCUCGCGGCGGCCGGCCCCGAAACACAGUGGCGGUCUCUCGCGGACUCCCCUGCGUAGUAGCACUACCUCGCAGAAGGGACGAGCGGGCCGACCACGCCGUAAAACCCCCCACUUCUCCAGGUUGACCUCAGAUCAGGUAGGAAUACCCGCUGAACUUAAGCAUAUCAAUAAGCGGAGGA
rnacentral:misc_RNA from 1 species